rnacentral:tRNA from 1 species
GGUAAAAUGGCCGAGUAAGCAUUAGACUGUAAAUCUAAAGACAGAGGUUCAAACCCUCUUUUUACCA